AGCCAAACAGUCUCAAAGCUCCCCUGACCAUCCAAGCUCGAGAAGAAUCUCCCCACCAACACCUUGUGCCUCUCACCUAAUUUUGUUUUGCACUGUGACCACACUUCCUGCAGUAGGUGCUGACCCGUUUCCUACCGGGCUCCAGACUGAGGGAGGAGAGAGUCCCAGGAGCCCUGGGACAGGGGGCUUGUGCGUGCGGCCCAUAGCCAAGCUACGGCCCGGGAACAGCCCCUGGACACAGGCUUCAUGAGAGCCAAGGACUCGGCAUGGUCAAAUGCCCACAGUUCCAUGGCCAGGCAGUGCUGUCCCUGGAGGUUACAGAUUAACGAGACCUCCCCAUAGGAAUGGUA